UUGUACAUGUGCAAUGGCUGCAAACAGCAGCUUCCUUGGUAGUGUGUGCAGCCUGUUUCUUGUAUGGGUUGCUCUAAGGGACCUUGGAGACAGGC
ensembl:snoRNA SNORA70 Small nucleolar RNA SNORA70